rnacentral:lncRNA from 1 species
ACUGUUGCCAGCCCCCAGAGUUAGCCCUGCACCUAAGAAACGGAGUCAUUGGAUUCACCAAAAGAGUAAUCCUGUGGCUCAGCAUUAGCCUCAAAGCAACAGAUUUAGUGACUUCUGUAGCAGGGACCUGGGUCAGAAGCAAAUAUCUUCAAUGGCCUGAUACAUACUUCAAAGUUCAAGACAGCGGCUCUCGUACAAGUGUAUUCUUUGGAUCCCCUGCAAGGCUGAGAAUGGUGCUGUACCCUGACCAAACAGAUGAGUGCAGGUGGCACAGGUUCCAUGGCCUCUGUAUGGUGUGACUGCUCUAGGUCAACAUCUUCUAGGACACCAAGUUAAAUCAAUAAAUUACUGGAUACUUACUAUGCAAGGUGCUAUAUGGAACUAAAGAUCAUGGAGUGUCUAGAUUUUACCACCUGAGUGUGAAAUAAAACAGCGACAUUUUCCAACCUGGGAAAAUAUCAAGUUCAUUCCACUAACAUCCAGAAAUGAUUUGUCAUCACUUGAGUGAACAUUUCCCUGUACAAUCACUCUUCUUUGUGAGUAAAAGGCUUUAUAUACUCAAUGACAAGAGUACAGUGAAAAUGGUAGACUCAUAAACUGCUGGUGGCAUCAU